rnacentral:rRNA from 1 species
UACGUAGGGGGCAAGCGUUGUCCGGAUUUAUUGGGCGUAAAGAGCGUGUAGGCGGCUAGGUAGGUCCGUUGUGAAAACUCGAGGCUCAACCUCGAGACGCCGAUGGAAACCAUCUAGCUAGAGUCCGGAAGAGGAGAGUGGAAUUCCUGGUGUAGCGGUGAAAUGCGCAGAUAUCAGGAGGAACACCGAUGGCGAAGGCGGCUCUCUGGGACGGUACUGACGCUGAGACGCGAAAGCGUGGGGAGCGAACAGG